UACGUAGGGUGCGAGCGUUGUCCGGAAUUACUGGGCGUAAAGAGCUCGUAGGUGGUUUGUCGCGUUGUCCGUGAAAACUCACAGCUCAACUGUGGGCGUGCGGGCGAUACGGGCGGACUAGAGUACUGCAGGGGAGACUGGAAUUCCUGGUGUAGCGGUGGAAUGCGCAGAUAUCAGGAGGAACACCGGUGGCGAAGGCGGGUCUCUGGGCAGUAACUGACGCUGAGGAGCGAAAGCGUGGGGAGCGAACAGG
rnacentral:rRNA from 1 species